rfam:Mesocricetus auratus contig152501, whole genome shotgun sequence.
AAUUCCAGCAAUGGGCAAAGAGACAUCUUGUUGAUGGUGGUGUUUUUAUAUCAGUCAGGGGCAGGGCAGAUAGCAGUCUUUUGUUCAUUCUAGCUUGAUGCCUGGCUUUGUGGCCAAAGCUAUUAAUGCCUAGGGCAGAUUA